rnacentral:rRNA from 1 species
GACGAACGCUGGCGGCGUGCUUAACACAUGCAAGUCGAGCGGUAAGGCCCUUUCGGGGGUACACGAGCGGCGAACGGGUGAGUAACACGUGGGUGACCUGCCCUCAGCUCUGGGAUAAGCCUGGGAAACCGGGUCUAAUACUGGAUAUGACUCCAUGACGCAUGUUGUGGGGUGGAAAGCCUUGUGCGGCUGAGGAUGGGCCCGCGGCCUAUCAGCUUGUUGGUGGGGUGANGGCCUACCAAGGCGACGACGGGUAGCCGGCCUGAGAGGGCGACCGGCCACACUGGGACUGAGACACGGCCCAGACUCCUACGGGAGGCAGCAGUGGGGAACCUUGCGCAAUGGGCGAAAGCCUGACGCAGCGACGCCGCGUGAGGGAUGACGGCCUGGUGUAAC